rnacentral:tRNA from 1 species
GCUUUAUUAGUAUAAUAAGUAUAAUUGCCUUCCAAGCAAUGGGUUUAGAUUUUUUAAAUAAAGUA